ACGCUAGCUACAGGCUUAACACAUGCAAGUCGAGGGGAAACGGCAUUAAGUGCUUGCACUUUUUGGACGUCGACCGGCGCACGGGUGAGUAACGCGUAUCCAACCUUCCCAUGACUAAGGGAUAACCUGCCGAAAGGCAGACUAAUACCUUAUGGUCUUCACUGACGGCAUCAGAUGUGAAGUAAAGAUUUAUCGGUUAUGGAUGGGGAUGCGUCUGAUUAGUUAGUUGGCGGGGUAACGGCCCACCAAGGCAACGAUCAGUAGGGGUUCUGAGAGGAAGGUCCCCCACAUUGGAACUGAGACACGGUCCAAACUCCUACGGGAGGCAGCAGUGAGGAAUAUUGGUCAAUGGGCGAGAGCCUGAACCAGCCAUGUAGCGUGCAGGAUGACGGCCCUAUGGGUUGUAAACUGCUUUUGUAUGGGGAUAAAGUCAAUCACGUGUGAUUGUUUGCAGGUACCAUACGAAUAAGGACCGGCUAAUUCCGUGCCAGCAGCAGCGGUAAUACGGAAGGUCCGGGCGUUAUCCGGAUUUAUUGGGUUUAAAGGGAGCGUAGGCUGGAGAUUAAGUGUGUUGUGAAAUGUAGACGCUCAACGUCUGACUUGCAGCGCGUACUGGUUUCCUUGAGUACGCACAACGUUGGCGGAAUUCGUCGUGUAGCGGUGAAAUGCUUAGAUAUGACGAAGAACUCCGAUUGCGAAGGCAGCUGACGGGAGCGCAACUGACGCUGAAGCUCGAAGGUGCGGGUAUCGAACAGGAUUAGAUACCCUGGUAGUCCGCACAGUAAACGAUGGAUGCCCGCUGUUGGUACUUGGUAUCAGCGGCUAAGCGAAAGCAUUAAGCAUCCCACCUGGGGAGUACGCCGGCAACGGUGAAACUCAAAGGAAUUGACGGGGGCCCGCACAAGCGGAGGAACAUGUGG
rnacentral:rRNA from 1 species